AGAAUCAACGCUGGCGGCGUGCCUAACACAUGCAAGUCGAACGAGAAAGUGGAGCAAUCCAUUAGUAAAGUGGCGCACGGGUGAGUAACACGUGACUAACCUACCCUUGAGUGGGGGAUAACCUAGGGAAACCUGGGCUAAUACCGCAUAAUACCUUCGGGUCAAAGGAGCAAUUCGCUUAAGGAGGGGGUCGCGGCCGAUUAGUUAGUUGGCGGGGUAAUGGCCCACCAAGACGAUGAUCGGUAUCCGG
rnacentral:rRNA from 1 species